UGCACUUGCACAUUCAUCUGGAAUCCUCCAAAACCACUUCCAUCAAACUGGGAGAGUUCUGCCAAAAUCUGGCUGAAACCCAUUCUAUAUCAGCCAGCAUAAUUCACCUUAUUACGAGAGUUCACCUUAUCAUGAGAGGCGUAAAUGGAGUGAAAAAGCAGAAGAGGAAGGAGGUCAAGUUGCUUUUGUGAAAAACAGAAACACUACAGCCACCUGUGCCAAGGCUGUUGGUGGAGAGCUGAGAGCAGAGAGAUCUUUGCUGUUUUCCUACUUUUAUCUUGGUUUUCAGCAGGUACCCAGGGAGCAGUGUGCUUAUCACCAGUGCCAGCGAUGGCAUUCCAGUCUUCACACAAAACUUGGCAUAUACAGGGACAACAGGUCCCAGUGGGAGUGUGCCAACUGGGAGAUGUUGUGUCUGGGCCACUGACAGCCUAAAGGGAACAUGCAGAACCAUAAAAGAGGUACUGUGCCUUUUUUGAAUCUACUACUAUUCUUUUAAUCAUCACUUAUGUGCAUCAUUUAAGGAUCUUCCAAGGCCAACGUGCAGCAUAAACUACCAAAACAGCUCCUUCCAGUCCUGGCUGAAUGGAAGUGGGAAGGAAAAAUCAC